rnacentral:lncRNA from 1 species
CACAAUUAUUAAGAAAAAGGAAACAUAAAUAAUUGUUAUUAAUGGUAAUCAAAAAUAAUAUUAUUAGUUCAUUAAAGGUAUCAGUGUAAUAAACCAAUGUAAAAGUUAACGUUAGCGCGACACGUAGAAAAUUGACUAACCAAAUAAUGUUAUAGAGAUAUGAUAACAACUCUUAUGUUAUUUUUUUUGGGCAAAUAGUUUUUUUUUUAAACGUAAACAUCUAAACUAAAUGAAAUUAGACGGCAGAGCAUAACAUAAUACACUACUCA